rnacentral:rRNA from 1 species
UACGUAGGGUGCGAGCGUUGUCCGGAAUUAUUGGGCGUAAAGAGCUCGUAGGUGGUUUGUCGCGUUGUUCGUGAAAACUCACAGCUUAACUGUGGGCGUGCGGGCGAUACGGGCAGACUGGAGUACUGCAGGGGAGACUGGAAUUCCUGGUGUAGCGGUGGAAUGCGCAGAGUAUCAGGAGGAACACCGGUGGCGAAGGCGGGGUCUC